UGAAAAAAAAAAGAGAAAAUAAAAAAGCUAUGUUCAUGUUUCUGGGUAAAAAGUUCAUGCCCUGGGUAAAGCCACAAAACUCUCUUCCGUCGAACUCACUUCCUUCCAUCGCCGAUUACCGCCGCCGUAGGCCUUGCCACCGCCAAUUACUCUUUUCCACUCAUUCAAACUGCAUCUCGAUUUAUGUUUCAUCUAUUCUCCACCUCAGUUGUCUCAGAUCCACCAUCGCCAACGUCCUCCAGUUCCAGAGCCUCUGUUGCUGCAUCAUCCUUCUGAGUAGAAUUGCUGACAACUUGUAGCUGUGGAUUUCGGCAACAACUACACCUUCUCCAACUACUCCGAAAGCGGUGGAGAUCAUAGCUUCCGAUCGCAAUUUUUGUUCUCUUUUUCUCCAAUGGCAGCUCCUCUUACUACUGCAUUCUCGCCGAUUUCUUGUUUUUCUUCUAGUUGCUGUGUUGAGCUUACCACAUCACCGAAUUCCAGCACUUUCUGAUGAGACUAAGUUGGAAAGUGUUUCAUCUGAAGAUCGCCAUGGAAGGUGGGCGAGUGACUUUCAAAAUUGUUCUUUCAUACCACGGGGCAUCUUUUGAUGGGUGGCAAAAGCAACCAGGAUUGAGUACCGU